GAUGAACGCUGGCGGCGUGCCUAAUACAUGCAAGUCGAGCGAAUGGAUUAAGAGCUUGCUCUUAUGAAGUUAGCGGCGGACGGGUGAGUAACACGUGGGUAACCUGCCCAUAAGACUGGGAUAACUCCGGGAAACCGGGGCUAAUACCGGAUAACAUUUUGAACCGCAUGGUUCGAAAUUGAAAGGCGGCUUCGGCUGUCACUUAUGGAUGGACCCGCGUCGCAUUAGCUAGUUGGUGAGGUAACGGCUCACCAAGGCAACGAUGCGUAGCCGACCUGAGGGGGUGAUCGGCCACACUGGGACUGAGACACGGCCCAGACUCCUACGGGAGGCAGCAGUAGGGAAUCUUCCGCAAUGGACGAAAGUCUGACGGAGCAACGACGCGUGAGUGAUGAAGGCUUUCGGGUCGUAAAACUCUGUUGUUAGGGAAGAACAAGUGCUAGUUGAAUAAGCUGGCACCUUGACGGUACCUAACCAGAAAGCCACGGCUAACUACGUGCCAGCAGCCGCAGUAA
rnacentral:rRNA from 1 species